GAGGAAUAUUGGGCAAUGCCCGAAAGGGUGACCCAGCAACGCCGCGUGGAGGAUGAAGGUCGUAAGAUUGUAAACUCCUGUUAGAGGGGAAGAAUAACUAAGUUUGGAGCUUAGUAUGACUGUACCCUCAGAGAAAGCCCCGGCUAACUACGUGCCAGCAGCCGCGGUAAUACGUAGGGUGCGAGCGUUAAUCGGAAUUACUGGGCGUAAAGGGUGCGCAGGCGGUCUUGCAAGUCAGAUGUGAAAGCCCCGGGCUUAACCUGGGAAUUGCGUUUGAAACUACAAGGCUAGAGUGCAGCAGAGNGGAGUGGAAUUCCAUGUGGAGCAGUGAAAUGCGUAGUGAUGUGGAAGAACACCGAUGGCGAAGGCAGCUCCCUGGGUUGACACUGACGCUCAUGCACGAAAGCGUGGGGAGCAAACA
rnacentral:rRNA from 1 species